CACGUAGGCGGAUAUUUAAGUCAGGGGUGAAAUCCCAGAGCUCAACUCUGGAACUGCCUUUGAUACUGGGUAUCUUGAGUAUGGAAGAGGUAAGUGGAAUUCCGAGUGUAGAGGUGAAAUUCGUAGAUAUUCGGAGGAACACCAGUGGCGAAGGCGGCUUACUGGUCCAUUACUGACGCUGAGGUGCGAAAGCGUGUGGAGCAAACA
rnacentral:rRNA from 1 species